rnacentral:rRNA from 1 species
UACGUAGGGGGCUAGCGUUGUCCGGAAUCAUUGGGCGUAAAGAGCUCGUAGGCGGUGUGUCACGUCGGCCGUGAAAACCUGCAGCUUAACUGUGGGCGUGCGGUCGAUACGGGCAUCACUGGAGUUCGGCAGGGGAGACUGGAAUUCCUGGUGUAGCGGUGAAAUGCGCAGAUAUCAGGAGGAACACCGGUGGCGAAGGCGGGUCUCUGGGCCGAAAACUGGACGC